CGACUUGCGGAAACUAUUAAGGUGACCAGGCCUAGCCUUCCACUUGGUAACAUCUACCAUGACAAGCUUGCGUACUUUGUUGUUUCUUGCGGCCGUUUGUGUCUCUGCGGCGGAGGUCGGCAGGGAAAAGAGAGGUCUCGCUUUGCACCCCCUUUUCGCCAACUACCCUUUACCCCUGACUGCCUAUUCACCCUUUGCACCCUUCCCCUAUUCAUAUCACCCUCGACCUGCCUACCACCAACCCCUCCCUUUCGCUCCUGUGCCCGUCCCGCAGCCCUACACAAUUAGUCCUGGACUGGAAGGAAUCACCAAAGCUAUAUAUUAAAAUUUGUGGAAAAAAUUACGUCAUCACAAAUAGAAUUCCAAAUUAUGUGUUCAUUUUAUCGUGAUUAAAAAUUGAGAUUGUUAAAAAAA